GGAGAGGCUGCGGGGGCCGCGGGGGCUGUGGGAAUGAAGGAGGAUGACCCAGGAAUUAUUUCUCUGACGACAAAGCUGUGGAAACAACUACAAAUGUUCACCAAAAAA